GAUCAAGCGAAAGAAUGUAUGUCGGGGAUGCCUGGGUACACGGAGGCGAGGAAGGCCGUGGUAAGCUGCGAUAAGCCAGGGGGAGCUGCACACAAGCUGUGAUCCCUGGAUGGCCGAAUGGGGAAACCCGGCCAUCAGAAAUGAUGGUCACUCCUUACGAGGAGAGCGAACCGAGGGAACUGAAACAUCUAAGUACCUCGAGGAAAGAGAAAUCAACCGAGAUGCCCCAAGUAGCGGCGAGCGAACGGGGCCCUAGCCCAAACCGUUACUCCUUGUGAGUAGCGGGGUUGUAGGAGCCACAUACGGUACGUCCAAGUGUCAGCGGAAGUCUCCUGGAAAGGAGCGCCAUAGACGGUGAUAGCCCGGUACGCGAAGGCCAAGGGACGUGCUAGUGGAUUUCCUGAGUAACGCCCGAGCUCCGAGGAGUCGGGCGUGAAGCUGGGGGGACCACCCUCCAAGGCUAAAGCCUCCCGUGUGACCGAUAGUGAACGAGGACCGUGAGGGACAGGUGAAAAGCACCCCAGUGCGGGGAGUGAAAGAGUGCCUGAAACGACAUACAUACAAGCGGUAGGAGGAUGGGCAUGACCUUCGGGUUGUGUCGCGUCUGACUGCGUGCCUUUUGCAUUAUGAUCCGGCGAGUUACUCCUGUGGAGCGUUUAGGCUAAGCCGCUGUGCGGCGGAGCCAUAGCGAAAGCGAGUCCUGCAAAGAGGGCGUUUAGUUCCAUGGGGUAGACCCGAAGCCAGGGCGAUCUACCCAUGUGCAGGGUGAAGCGCGGGUAACACCGCGUGGAGGCCCGAACCGGUACGGGUUGAAAACCGUUCGGAUGACGUGUGGGUAGGGGUGAAAGGCCAAUCAAGCCUGGAGAUAGCUGGUUCUCCCCGAAAUCUAUUGAGGUAGAGCCUCAGGGAAGGCCGCAAGGCCUGUUGUACGCAGGGGGUAGAGCGACUGGAUGGGCGCGGGGGAGCGAAGCUCCUACCAACCCCAACCAAACUCCGAAUACCUGUGCUAUGGACCCUGGGAGGCAGUCGCUGAGCGAUAAUGUCCAGCGGCAAAAGGGAAAGAACCCAGAGCCACAGCUAAGGCCCCAAAGUGACCACUAAGUAUAGCGAAGGAUGUGAACGUGCCGUGACAACUGGGAGGUUGGCUUAGAAGCAGCCAUUCCUUGAAAGAGUGCGUAAUAGCUCACCAGUCCAGCGUGUUUGCGCCGAGAAUGGUCGGGAUUAAGUGGUCCGCCGAAGCUUGGCCUUCAUACUAUGUAUGAGGGGUAGGGGAGCGUUCUCAUCUGCAAUGAAGCGGUCGUGGAAACGUGCCGUGGAGCGAUGAGAAGUGAGGAUGCCGGAAUGAGUACGCGCAAAUCAAAGUGAAAACCUUUGACACCGUAAACCCAAGGAUUCCUGCGCCAUGGCAAUCAGCGCAGGGUGAGGCGGAACCUAAGGCGAGGCCCCAGAGGCGUAGUCGAUGGAUAGCUGGCGAACAUUCCAGCCCCGCCGUUUAGGCGUUAUUACCACAGAAGGGACCGUGUAACGAAGGGAAAGCGGCUUUGUGGAUGGCCGUCCAACCGCGUAGGGGAAACCCGAGACGGGAGUGCGAGAAUGCGGGGCAACCCAAGUUCAAGUUUUCUGGAGUCGACACGCAAGAAAAGCUUCUGCUGGGAGUCUGAACGUGCGUCCGUACCGUAAACCGACACAGGUGGGUAAGGCGAGUAGCCUAAGGUGAACGAGUGAAACGAGGUCAAGGAACUCGGCAUAAUGAUCCCGUAACUUCGGAAUAAGGGAUGCCUUUCAUGGUUGCAUUAUUUACUGAUGCUGCUGUGGGAGGCCGCAGAUAAUCGGCUCAAGCGACUGUUUAGCAAAAACACAGGUGAGUGCCAAGCCGCACAAGGCGCCGUAUACUCACUGACGCCUGCCCGGUGCCGGAAGGUUAAGGGGAGAGGUCAACCUGGCUUACGCCGGGUGAAGCCUUGAUCCGAAGCCCCGGUAAACGGCGGCCGUAACUAUAACGGUCCUAAGGUAGCGAAAUUCCUUGUCGGGUAAGUUCCGACCUGCACGAAUGG
rnacentral:rRNA from 1 species